AACGAACGCUGGCGGCAGGCCUAACACAUGCAAGUCGAGCGAGGACUUCGGUUCUAGCGGCGGACGGGUGAGUAACGCGUGGGAAUGUGCCCUUCUCUACGGAAUAGCCCUGGGAAACUGGGAGUAAUACCGUAUACGCCCUAUUGGGGAAAGAUUUAUCGGAGAAGGAUCAGCCCGCGUUGGAUUAGGUAGUUGGUGGGGUAAUGGCCUUCCAAGCCGACGAUCCAUAGCUGGUUUGAGAGGAUGAUCAGCCACACUGGGACUGAGACACGGCCCAGACUCCUACGGGAGGCAGCAGUGGGGAAUCUUAGACAAUGGGGGCAACCCUGAUCUAGCCAUGCCGCGUGAGUGAUGAAGGCCUUAGGGUUGUAAAGCUCUUUCAGCUGGGAAGAUAAUGACGGUACCAGCAGAAGAAGCCCCGGCUAACUCCGUG
rnacentral:rRNA from 1 species